GAUCUUUAAAGAGGAGAGAGGACUGUACCAGGACAAGGUGUUCUGCUUCAUCCAUCUGAGUGUUCAGGAGUUUCUGGCUGCUCUUCAUGUCCAUCUGACCUUCAUCAACUCUGGACUCAAUCUAAUGGUAGAAGAACAAACGACCUCCAAGAAGUCUGAAACAAGAGAAUCUGCAGAGAAACACUUUUAUCAGAGUGCUGUGAACAAGGCCUUACAGAGUCCAAAUGGACACCUGGACUUGUUUCUCCGCUUCCUCCUGGGUCUUUCACUGCAGACUAGUCAGUGUCUCUUACGAGGUCUCCUGACACAGACAGUAAGUAGCUCACAGACCAAAAAGGAAACAGUAAAGUACAUUAAGGAGAAACUCCAUGAGAGUCUGUAUGCAGAGAAAACCAUCAGUCUUUUCCACUGUCUGAAUGAACUGAAUGAUCAUUCUUUAGUGGAGGAGAUCCAACAGUACACAAGUUCAGGACGUCUCUCCCACGAUAGAAUUUCUCCUGCUCAGUGGUCAGCUCUGGUCUUCAUCUUACUGUCAUCAGAAAAAGAUCUGGAUGUGUUUGACCUGAAGAAAUACUCUGCUUCAGAGGAGGCUCUUCUGAGGCUGCUGCCAGUGGUCAAAGCCUCCAACAAAGCUCUUCUGAGUGUCUCUAAACUCUCAGAGAGAGGCUGUGAAGCUCUGUCCUCAGUUCUCAGCUCCCAGUCCUCUACUCUGAGAGAGCUGGACCUGAGUAUAAACACCCUGCAUGAUUCAGGAGUGAAGCUUCUGUGUGCUACAGUGGAGAGUCCACAGUGUACCCUGGAAACGCUCAGGUCAGAUCAACUAAUAUUCUGAAUUCUUUAUAAAUUAAGAUAAGUAGUUAAUUAAAAUUCAAAGCAAAUCAAGGUCAACUUUUAGUGUUGUUUUUACUAAGUACAUGAGACAGAUCUUUUGAUUCUGAAGUUAUGGUAGCCUGCCACAUUUCUAAUCUCUUUAACAUCAGAGAACAAGGACUUUAAAAAUGCUCUUCUCCCCAGACUGAGUCUUUGUAAUUUGUCAGAGAGAAGCUACGAAGCUUUGUCCUCAGUUCUCAGCUCCCAGUCCUCUAGUCUCAGAGAGCUGGAUCUGAGUAACAGUGACCUGCAAGAUUCGGUAGUGAAGCUGCUUUCUGCAGGACUGAGAAGUCCAGACUGUAAACUUAGACUGAGUCACUGUCAGAUCUCACCGAGAAGCUAUGAAGCUCUGUUCUCAGUCCUCAGCUCCAAGUCCUCUAGUCUGAGAGAGCUGAACCUGAGUAACUCUGACCUGCAGGAUUCAGGAGUGACGCUUCUGUCCUUUGGAGUGAAGAGUCCACAUUGUAAAAUGGAUACUCUUAGUCUGUCAGGCUGUCUGAUCACAGAGGAAGGCUGUACUUCUCUGGCCUCAGCUCUGAGC